GUCUCCACAGAUUUAGGAAUGGAUAACACCAGAGAUCCCUUCAGUCUCCACAGAUUUAGGAAUGGAUAACACCAGAGAUCAAUUCAGUCUCCACAGAUUUAGGAAAAUCAGCGUUUUAGUUUUUUUGCCCCUAAUUUGUGUACCAAUUCGCAGAGUUCACUGUAGUCAGAUGUACUGGUGCCACUCAGACGUACUGAUGUACUGGUGCCACUCAGAUGUACUGGUGCCACUCAGGCAGUUAGAUGUACUGGUGCCACUCAGGCAGUUAGAUGUACUGGUGCCACUCAGACAGUUAGAUGUACUGGUGCCACUCAGGCAGUCAGAUGUACUGGUGCCACUCAGGCAGUUUGCAUUACUGAUUGAGGACCUCUAUGUAGUUGGAUGGGAUUGCUUUUGUUAAUUGUGU
rnacentral:lncRNA from 1 species